rnacentral:tRNA from 1 species
GGCCUGGUAGUGCAGCGGUUAGCAUACCACAUCUGUAAUUGUUGGGUUGUAACCUUAGGGUUGAUUUCCUGUAUCAAAAACUGUACUUGUAGCUCCUCGGGGUGUGAGUGUAGAAGAUGUGGAGAUGGGGGUUCGACUCCUCCCUAGGCCA